GACGAACGCUGGCGGCGCGCUUAACACAUGCAAGUCGAACGGAAAGGCCUGCUUUCCCUUGUGGAUUGCGGGUACUCGAGUGGCGAACGGGUGAGUAACACGUGAGUGAUCUGCCCCCAACUUGGGUAUAAGUCUGGGAAACUGGGUCUAAUUCCCGAUAGGACUGCAGGGUGGUGCCUGUGGUGGAAAACGAUUUUCUAGUGGUUGGGGAUGAGCUCGCGGCCUAUCAGCUUGUUGGUGGGGUAAUGGCCUACCAAGGCGGCGACGGGUAGCCGGCCGGGGAGGGUGGACGGCCACAUUGGGACUGAGAUACGGCCCAGACUCCUACGGGAGGCAGCAGUGGGGCAUAAUGCGGAAUGGGCGGAAGCCUGCUGCAGCGACGCCGCGUGGGGGAUGACGGGCUUCGGGUUGUAAACUCCUUUCGACCGAGAGGAAGCCACCUGGUUGGAAGGGUGGUGACGGUAGUGGUAGAAGAAGCACCGGCUAACUACGUG
rnacentral:rRNA from 1 species